AUUGAACGCUGGCGGCAUGCUUUACACAUGCAAGUCGAGCGGCAGCGCGGGGGGCAACCCUGGCGGCGAGCGGCGAACGGGUGAGGAAUACAUCGGAACGUGUCCCGUAGUGGGGGAUAGCUCGGCGAAAGCCGGAUUAAUACCGCAUAUGCUCUACGGAGGAAAACCGGGGAUCUGUUAAAGGACCUGGCGCUAUGGGAGCGGCCGAUGUCCGAUUAGCUAGUUGGUGAGGUAAAGGCUCACCAAGGCGACGAUCGGUAGCUGGUCUGAGAGGAUGAUCAGCCACACUGGGACUGAGACACGGCCCAGACUCCUACGGGAGGCAGCAGUGGGGAAUUUUGGACAAUGGGGGCAACCCUGAUCCAGCCAUGCCGCGUGCGGGAAGAAGGCCU
rnacentral:rRNA from 1 species